UAACGAUCAGUUGAGUCCCAAUCUGAGUCCAAUUUGUCAACUAUUUGUAGGCGAAGAAGAUCGAUCUGCUGCCCCUUUGCUUGGUUGUCGAUAUUUAGAUGAGGAAAUGGGGAAAGCUUUAGUAAUUAUCUACAUCACAGCUGCUGUGCUCCUUCUAUUCCUCAUCUCUCACUCUCCUUCUCCUUCCAACAAACCUAAGCGUCAUCGCCGACUUAAAUUGCGCUCCAACUUCACUUUUGACUCACAUCCUACUCACCAUGAACAUAUUCCGUUUGACCCUUUAGUUGCUCAAAUCGAACGCCAACGUGAGGAUAAGGAAUGGGAGAAGCAGUAUAUUGACACCCAUCAUCAUCAAUUAAUACAUGAACAUGCUCCUGGUCAAGAAUCUCAGCCUGAAUGGGAAGACUUUAUGGAUGCUGAAGAUUAUCUCAAUGAUGAACACAAGUUCAAUGUAACUGAUAGACUUGUAUUAUUGUUUCCCAAGAUUGAUGUCCACCCAUCUGAUGGUUUCGUCACUGACCAUGAGUUGACUGACUGGAAUCUGGAGCAGACCCGGAAGGAGGUUUUGCAUAGGACUCAAAGAGAUAUGGAAAUUCAUGACAAAAAUCAUGAUGGUUUUGUCUCUUUCCAUGAGUAUGAGCCUCCCAGUUGGGUUCGGAAUUCAGAUAAUACUUCUUUUGGAUAUGAUAUGGGCUGGUGGAAAGAAGAUCACUUUAAUGCGUCAGAUAUAGAUGGAGAUGGGCUUCUAAACAUUACUGAGUUCAAUGACUUUUUACAUCCCGCCGAUACGAGCAACCCCAAACUACUUCACUGGCUCUGCAAGGAGGAAAUAAGGGAGAGAGAUAGUGACAAAGAUGGUAAGGUUAAUUUCAACGAGUUCUUUCAUGGGCUGUUUGACUUGGUAAGAAACUAUGACGAGGAGAGUCAUGAUACUUCUCAUCAUUCUGAGGAUUCACAAGAGUCUCCAGCCAGAAAGUUGUUUGCUGAGCUUGAUAAAGAUGGGGAUGGAUAUUUGUCAGAAGCUGAAUUGCUACCUAUAAUUGGAAAGCUUCAUCCAUCAGAGCGUUACUAUGCCAAACAACAAGCAGAUUACAUCAUACAGCAGGCUGAUGCAGAUAAAGACGGAAGGCUUACUCUGAAAGAGAUGAUUGAUAGCCCGUAUGUUUUCUAUAGUGCAAUAUUCAACGAGGAUGAUGAAGAUUAUGAAGACCAUGAUGAGUUCCGUUAGUUCAAGAUAGGAUGGUAACACGCCUCUCCUGCCCUCAGUUACUCGUGUAUGAUACUUUCCAGUUAGGUAGAUGUUUGAAAUUUUUAUGCUGGUCUCACCAAAAGAGAUAUGUGGUGUGACAUCAACGUUUUAUUUAUCAGAUAGUUUUCUUUGUAAUCAACCAUUAUUGACGACAUCAUGCUAAUGCAUUUGCAUAUUCAGGAUCUACCAUUGUUUCAUUGAGGAAUUUUAGUUGGACAAACUUGAUAAGCACACAAUUUGUUUUU